CCCUUAGAUGUUCUGGCUGCACGCGUGCUACACUGAUAUUGCCAAUAUGUCAUUCUUAUCCGAAAUGGAUUGGGUAAUCAAGUAAUGAAAUUUCAUGCUUGGAAUCGGUAAUUGCAAUUUUAUCGUGAACGAGGAAUUCCUAGUAAGCACUAGUCAUCAGCUAAUGUUGAUUAUGUCCCUGCCCUUUGUACACACCGCCCGUCGCUACUACUGAUUGGGUGUUCAAGUGAGAUGCUUAGACCCUUGUUGCAUGGUUCAUUAUUGUGCUCCGAAAGGAAAAAGUUUCAAGCUUGAGUGUCUAGAGGAAGUAAAAGUCGUAACA
rnacentral:rRNA from 1 species